rnacentral:tRNA from 1 species
GGUGAGGUGUCCGAGWGGCUGAAGGAGCACGCCUGGAAAGUGUGUAUACGGCAACGUAUCGAGGGUUCGAAUCCCUCCCUCACCGCCA